rnacentral:ribozyme from 12 species
AAAGAAAAAAACAGAUAAAAAAGAAGAAAAGACAGAUAAAAAAGAAGAAAAAUUAAAAGAAAUCAAAGUUCACUCUU